GUUUUGCUUAUUAAAAAAUGAAAAGAGGAGAGCAAGAUGAAAGAAAAAGAGAAAUUCCAAGGGGAAAAUCAAUGGAAUGGGAAGACUGCUUAUGCUACAGGAGAUUAUUUCAUGCAUAGAUACAUUUCACCAGUUGGACUGCAUGGGGUGAUUCACAGUGACAGCAUACUGCUGUUACGGACACCUCGAAGAGAGAGGUCUGAUGCAUUCGCACUCUGAUGAGCCAUAAGGGGAUACUGUGGCAGAUGAUGGCACAUCUCCCCAGAAGCCUUUGGCCUGAAUUUAGCGGGAUACGCCAAGUCUCAAGGUCUGUAUCUUCUGUGUUCUCAAUUCUCAAACUGAAGAGUUUGAUCAAACUCUCACUGGAAUCUAAAGCAUAUGGAAUAAUGCCUGAAGAUGGAGCUGUUUACAAACUUCUGCGGGAUAAAAGGGAACCUAUUUGCAACACAGACUUCAUAGAAACAAGCAUUGUAGUUACUUUUAUCAGAGUUUGCCCUUCCAGAUUAAUGGUGUUGAACUUCUCAUGCUGACCAGAGGGAGCCCAGGAAGAGAUGAAAAGCACACAAUCUACAGAGCAAUAGAGCCUCUCCCACAUGUUCUUGUACAACUUAUAAAAUAUAGUUUUCAUGCUGAGAUGCUAGAGCAGUUCCUGAAAAACCAACUCGCCGAAACACCAAAUAUUUUUAUGACCACAAAAGCUGUUUGCUGCAGACUCAUUCAGGAAGCUCUAAAGUGGGAAUAAAAAUCUACAAAAUUCAAAGUUUAAUACAUGCUUUCCUAUAGCUUUGGCCAUUGACACAGCUACUGUCUAUUUCAUACUGAGAAAAAGCUUUGACAAUUUAUUUGAGAACUAAAAGUGCAAUUCCUGCAGGAGGGAGAACCCAGGCCUUGGAAAUUUGACAGUGGGAGAAAUGGAAAACGACUUCUAGCAUGGAAAUUCUUAUGUUACUGCUACACAUUUUUUCUAUGUAAACAAAGGAAAGGUAUAUAUUGAAAUAAUUAAACUCAAUUAAGUUGUUAUAAUGUUAUUUUAAACACUAAGAUUUCAUUUGCAUUAAUGUUUUAGCUACAUGUAUGUACAUGGUGUGAUCCCUCCCUGCAAAACUUAGUAAUUAUGCCUGGCUUAGACAGUAAUGACAGUAAAGCAUUGCCUGAAGGAAAGAUAUUGAAUUUGAAAUUAUUUUAUUGAAGCAGAAUAUUGAUUUUGUUUUUUUUUUCUAGCAAGUUUUACUGCUUGUACACUAGAUUUUUUUGCAUUGUCUUUACUGAUGAAGGUAUAGAUUACUCUGCUGCAAGAGCAGAAAUCUAAUACUAGUUACAAGUCUUUUAUGUUCACAUUUCAACCUUCUGUUGCAGUUUGAGGUGUAUUUUCCUCUCCCACAUAAUGUAAUAAACAUCUACAAAACAUGCUGUCUUCUGUGUUUUUUCCCUCAAGAAAACCCAAUAAAGUUUCCUUAAAUGGUCUUCUAGCUUUCCAUCCUUUUCCACUACCUGUAAUAGAAAUCUGUAAUGAUGUUCAACUUGGUGCAUUUUCUGC
rnacentral:lncRNA from 1 species